rnacentral:rRNA from 1 species
UACAGAGGGUGCAAGCGUUAAUCGGAAUUACUGGGCGUAAAGCGUGCGUAGGUGGUUACUUAAGUCAAAUGUGAAAGCCCUGGGCUCAACCUAGGAAUUGCAUCUGAUACUGGGUAACUAGAGUAUGGUAGAGGAUGGCGGAAUUUCCGGUGUAGCGGUGAAAUGCGUAGAUAUCGGAAGGAACACCAGUGGCGAAGGCGGCCGUCUGGGCCAAUACUGACACUGAGGCACGAAAGCGUGGGUAGCAAACAGG